ensembl:snRNA U6 U6 spliceosomal RNA
UUGCUCCCUUUAGCAGCACAUGUACUAAAACUGAAACAAUAGAGAAGAUUAGCACAGUCCCUGAGCAAGGAUGACACGCAAAUUUGUGAAACAUUCCAUAUAUAU